UAUACGCUACUGGUCGAAUCAAGAUCUAGCAGAAACCAAGUGGGUAAGAUUCUAUUGUCGUCACACUCAUAGACAAGUAUUUGUAACAUCUUGGUUGCAUUUUCUGUAAAAGGUGUAUUUUAUAGUUCGCAGCGACAUCCUGUGACUUUGUGGUAACGUAGAUCGGACAGUCGACAGCAAAUCCGUAUUUCACGGUCUGCGGCGCCAUCUCGCGACCUUACUUGGUGACGCAGAUUGCUCAGAUAGAAACCAGAAGAAUCUUUUAGGAAAACUCCUACAAGAAAAGUGGGAGGGACCUUUCCAAGUGCUGCUGAUCACCUUCACCGCGGUUAGGAUCAAGGAGCGACCUACAUGGAUUCACUAUUCUCGAGUCAAGAAAGUUCCGGAAGAUAAGCAGGAAGACCCGACAUCAUGAAUCCGGCUCCUUCUCAAACCCUUUCAACAUUGACCAUUGGACUUUUGAUAAGUAUUGUUUUAUCCCAAAACCGUACUCCAGAAGGGUCGUGGUCUAGUGCACGCACACUACCACGCUCUGAGGAAAACCCAGACUUUGAGGUUUAUGUCUUACAUAACAAUCAACCCUAUACGAUAGAUGAAUGGGAUAGCAGAACCUGUUUCAUAGCGCAAAAGGGAGACCAAAUUCAAGUAGGGUGUCGAGAGGUCGAUGCCCUAGUGGG